CCUGCAUCUGCCAACAAGACUGGAAGCAGAAAGGGACAGAGACGGCGAAGUUUGACGGUCUGGAAAGCAGAGACCAGCAGGGCUGACUGCUUGGGAGGAGGAGAAUGCUAUUUAUUUCAGCACCAAAUAUCCGGACAGCGCCUCUCGGGAGGUCCGAGAAGAGAACCGCGAUCUGUUUCAGCACCGGGGCUCAGGACAGUUCCCAGCGGGCUCCGUUUCGUCUCCAGAACCCUGGACAGCUCCUCCAGCUUGGAAUGCACUCCCUCCACCUCCAACCAGAGCUCCCCACAACUGACCCUGCCUUCUUCUGCAAGCUCCAUUUCAUCAAGGGAAACGAUCCUUAUUGCCUCACCAUUUCCCACGUGAAGUCUGUAUUGACAUUCUCAUAGACCUGGGAUAUUGUGUCUGCAGCACAUAGUCCAAUUAUUUUCAUGUUAUCUACUGACAGGUCUAUUUGUCUCCCUGUUACACUGUGAGCUCCGUGAGGGCAGAAACAAUGUUAGUAUUUUCACUGCUGUGUCCCCAGCGCCUGGUCCGGGGCCCGGCACACAGCAGGCAUAUAAUAAGCAUGUGUUGAAUCAAUAAAGGCAUCAAAGAAUAAACCAAUACAUCAAUCAAUAAAUGAAUGAAUGGCCUCAGCACACACAGGAAGAUCCUUCUUCUAGGUCUCCCCCAGAGAGAUACUGGAGGGCAAUGGUUGCUGGAGGUGUUUAUUGGGGAAGCAUAAUUGAAUUUGUGGACACUUAAGGGCCGGCCAGCCAACUCACAGCCCCAAGAGAGAGAGCCAGGCUCAUUUAAUUAGCAAUUACAAGGCACUGAUUCCUCAUUAGCUCUGGCAACCCUCGUCUCCCUCCUCAGCCCCAGACAAAUGAAAUCUUUCUCUCUCUCCCAGGAGUACUGCCUCAGUGGGUCCAUUAACAAGCAGAGAAAAUGAGAUUAGAAGACACCUAAAUGCCAGAGGCACUUUAUGAAUGGGCUGAGCAGAGGGAGGUUCAAUGUCUGGGUUAGGUCUAAUUGUGGGAGGUUUCCUGGUCUAUUUAGAAUUGCCCCCUGGGAAUGCAAGGUCUUUCAGAAAGGAAAAGGCACACAGAUAUUGCCUUCUGGGGUCCUCAAUGGAGGAGGACAUUCUGCUAUGGGUGUCUCCCAGUCACCCCAAAUUAAUCAUUUCAAAGUGAACACUCAAUCUGCCCAGCCCCUAGCUUCCUCCCCUGACAUGCCCAUGAAUAUGACAGUCCCUCUACAUGCCCAAGAUCCUCCCCUCCUCAUCCACUCCCCAUGAUCCCCAAGAUGAGUCACUGUGCUCAAAUCCAUCCUCUCUCCUCCAGCCCUCUGCCUCCAUGACCUCCCUCCAGCCCUCUGCCUCCAUGACCUCCGCCUCCCUGCAUGUCCGGAUCUCCUCACUGUCUCCCCUCUGAGCAUACACACACAUACAGCCUGUUCAUUCUCUACAUGCAGCGAGGGGACUUUCCAGAACACACAUCUGACCAAGUUCCACUCCUGCCUGUCACCCUUCCAAGAGCCCCACUGACUGCAGAAUAACGUUCAAAUAUCCGGUUGGGCGUGGUGGCUCAUGCCUGCAGUCCCAGCACUUUGGGAGGCCAAGGUGGGUGGAUCACUUGCACAGGACCACAGGCGUGUGCCACCACACCCAGCUAAUUUUUAUAUUUUUGGUAGAGACGGAGUUUCACCAUGUUGGCCAGGCUGACCUCAAGUGAUCCACCCGCCUCAACCUCCCAAAGUGCUGGGAUUACAGGCAUGAGUCACUGCACCGGUCUAAUUUUUUCAGAGUCUCACUCUUGCCCAGGCUGGAGUGCAGUAGCAUGAUCUCGGUUCACUGCAACCUCUGCCUCCUGGUUUCAAGCGAUUCUCUUGGCUCAGCCUCCUGAGCAGCUGGGAUUACAGGCACGUGCCACCACACUUAGCUAAUUUUUGUAUUUUUAGUAGAGAUGGGGGUCUCACCAUGCUGGCACAGUUGGUCUUGAACUCCUGACCUCAAGUGAUCCACCCACCUCGGCUUCCCAAAGUGCUGGGAUUACAGACGUGAGCCACCGCGCCCGGCCAGCCUUUAUUGAUUCUUUUUAAAGCCACACUAACCUUUUAUUUUCCCCCAAAGACCCCUGGGAGCCCUCAGUUUUUCCUGGCAGUUUCAUCUUUGUACCCCUGACCUCCCCACACACACGCCUAGCUCAGUGCUGGCAUCCAAUAUUCACUUUGGGUAUAAAUGCUUGUGCCUGAGCCUAUCACCUUCAUCACACAGAAAAUCCUGGAGGCCACACACCCCUGUAAAGACGAGCCAUUACCCACAGAGGUCCAACCAACUUACCACCCUCUCCCAGCCACCCCCAAGGACCCAGCUUGCAGCUGCCUGCUCAAUGGCUUUAGAAACUAAAAAAGGUGAAUGAGUUUCCAUCACUGCCCUCCUGGGCUUUGCCGUUAUGGCUGGUUAACUUGACAGAAGAACACAUUAUACUUCAUUUUUUGCUGUUGUCUUGUUGGAAAAAAAAGUGACAGCUGGGUGCAGUGGUGCACACUGUAGUCACAGCUACUCAGGAGAAUUGCUUGAGCACAGGAAUUGGAGGCUACACUGAGCAAUGAUCGCCUCACUGCACUCCAGCCUGAACGACAGAGCAAGACCCUCUUAAAAAAUACGUGAGAGAGGGUGCGUAUGAUGGCUCAUGCCUGUAAUCCCAGCAGUUUG
rnacentral:lncRNA from 1 species